rnacentral:rRNA from 1 species
UACGAAGGGGGCUAGCGUUGUUCGGCAUUACUGGGCGUAAAGCGCACGUAGGCGGACUAUUAAGUCAGGGGUGAAAUCCCGGGGCUCAACCCCGGAACUGCCUUUGAUACUGGUAGUCUCGAGUCCGGAAGAGGUGAGUGGAAUUCCGAGUGUAGAGGUGAAAUUCGUAGAUAUUCGGAGGAACACCAGUGGCGAAGGCGGCUCACUGGUCCGGUACUGACGCUGAGACGCGAAAGCGUGGGGAGCGAACAGG